CUCCAUACCAUGCUAACAGUGCCCUUGGUGACUUCGUUAACUCCAAAACCCUUGCCAUUGGAACUGGAAUUACUCCAUUCAGUUUAUUCCUAUGUAAAAUGUUCUUCAAGAAACACAACGAUUACAAGAUAUGUUGGACUACUCUUUUCCGCAUGGAAGUGGCAAGCCGCUGGAGAUAUUAGCAAAGCUAAAUGAGUUGGUUUGCUUUUCACCUGAUGAAAACAUUGGUCUUUUUUAUGCUAAUUUUUCAUCUUCUCUUGCUGCACAGUUUUUAACUCAAAACAAAUGGUUAAUAAUGAAGUUGAAGCAACUAUAUAUACCAUGGGAAAAUGUUAGUAUGUGAUAAGACUGAUCUGAGAAUAUUAUAUCUGUGAUAUCUCACAUAUGGUUCAUAUACAUCUAUUUCUUAUCU